rnacentral:tRNA from 2 species
CGCGGAGUAGAGCAGUCCGGUAGCUCGUCGGGCUCAUAACCCGGAGGUCGUAGGUUCAAAUCCUGCCUCCGCAA